UACGUAGGGUGCAAGCGUUGUCCGGAAUUAUUGGGCGUAAAGAGCUCGUAGGCGGUCUGUCGCGUCGGCUGUGAAAACUCGGGGCUCAACUCCGAGCCUGCAGUCGAUACGGGCAGACUAGAGUGCUGUAGGGGAGACUGGAAUUCCUGGUGUAGCGGUGAAAUGCGCAGAUAUCAGGAGGAACACCGGUGGCGAAGGCGGGUCUCUGGGCAGUAACUGACGCUGAGGAGCGAAAGCGUGGGGAGCGAACAGG
rnacentral:rRNA from 1 species